GGGCCCGUAGCUCAGCCUGGUAGAGCAUCGCCCUUGCACUGCAAGACGAAAUAGCGUCUUCAACAAGUGAGGCGGGGGCCUCGGGUUCGAAUACGGGUUACGCAAGUGCUCGUUGGAAAGUCCCGACGGGUCCA
rnacentral:tRNA from 1 species